GGCUGGUUCAAAGGUAAUGAGUUACCUCAAUUGAUUGUUCACAGUCAGUUAUAUAUCAAACUCCUAAUUCUACUCUUCCCACCACCUCACUACAGCACAAGACUAGUCUUGA
rnacentral:Y_RNA from 1 species